rnacentral:rRNA from 1 species
CCUACGUGAGGCAGCAGUGAGGAAUAUUGGUCAAUGGACGAGAGUCUGAACCAGCCAAGUAGCGUGAAGGAUGACUGCCCUAUGGGUUGUAAACUUCUUUUAUAUGGGAAUAAAAUGUUCCACGUGUGGGAUUUUUUAUGUACCAUAUGAAUAAGGAUCGGCUAACUCCGUGCCAGCAGCCGCGGUAAUACGGAGGAUCCGAGCGUUAUCCGGAUUUAUUUGGUUUAAAGGGAGCGUAGAUGGGUUGUUAAGUCAGUUGUGAAAGUUUGCGGCUCAACCGUAAAAUUGCAAUUGAUACUGGCAGUCUUGAGUACAGUUGAGGUAGGCGGAAUUCGUGGUGUAGCGGUGAAAUGCUUAGAUAUCACGAAGAACUCCGAUUGCGAAGGCAGCUUACUAAACUGCCACUGACAUUGAUGCUCGAAAGUGUGGGUAUCAAACAGGAUUAGAUACCCUAGUAGUC